rnacentral:lncRNA from 10 species
GAGGACGGGUCAAGCUGACCCAAAGGAGAGUCUCAAGAUGGAUAGCAGAGCCUUUAACGCCCCAGAGGGCUGGGCUCUCUAAACUGGUUUCCCUGACUACUGGAAGACUCCUAUUCAGUGGGGCUGAAUGGCCAAUUGUUGAACAUUUGGAUAAGUGAUUGAGGAAUGUACUAUGUCUUAAUACAAGGGUGUGCAGUCACUAAGGAGGCACACUCUGUUCAAAGGCCCAUAAGUAAAUUAAAGAUUUUCAUCAUAAAGCCAAUAGAAGUGUUUGAGAAAAAAACACCUUUCAAAGUGAACAUGUAUUACGUUACUGGAAUAUUUUUAAAAAAUCUAUUAACCUCUAAGAGGCCAAGAACAGAAAUUCAGCAAUAAAAGGUAAAUUGAUGGACUCUGGUGCUGCAAGGGGAAACCACCUAGUAAUGAUCAAAGAAGAUAGGUUGAAAUUCUCCUGGAAAGAUGUGCAUAUAAGACAACAGUGCAUAACACCCUCUGGUGGACCCUUUUCCUCCCUCAAAAAAACACGCUGAUACUUAUUCAUCACUGCAAGGUAACAAGUAGUACACAGAUCUAUCUUCUCACCAAGGAUUUGUUACAAUAUGGAAGCAGAACAAUUUAACAUCAUUAUUCGAAAAUCCACCGUGGAAGAUAAAUUCAUGUGUCAAAACUGCUAAAAUGGAUAAUGGGCAUAAUUGUUAAUACACUAACUGUUGUGAUUUUUUAGUUCGUAGAUAUGUAACCAUUCACGCAUCUUUCUGUAACUGAUAAGUAAAAAUCUCUCCCUUUAUGACUCAGUAUUGUGAUUUUCCAUGCUUGCUAUGAAAAACAGAAUAGAAAUAUGAUAUGAUAAAAUCAGAGUGCUAUACUAUAGUGACCAGAAAACAGCAGAUAUGGAUUUUAAUGUGAGUUCUACCCCUAGCUAGCUCUUUUACUUUGGUCAUUCCCUUAGUCGUGGUCUCAAUGCCCUCUUCUGUAAAGUUGUGAGGUUUGAGAUAUUCUCUGAGAUACAUUCUGCUGUUAAAAUUCUGUUACUGAAUUUGAAAACCACUAAACCUUUCAGUGAGGGUAAUUUGGAAAAAGAAUGGUAUAUAUUUUUUUAGCUGACAAAGUUUUUAAGUGAAAAAAGUAUUUAAACUUCUUUGUAUUUGUUAAUUGAGCUUUUUUUUUUAUUUAGACAUAUGAGUUCAAAAUUUAUAGCUGUUUUUGACACUAUAGCCAGUGGUUAAAAAGCAGUCUUUGGAGGCUGCCUGUGCUUGAAUCUAGUUUCAUCAUUUACUAGUUGUAAAACAUGGGAAAGUUUUUAAAAUGUCUUUGUGCUCAGUUUACUCCUCUGUCGAUGGGGAAUAAUUACAGCACUCUUCUUGAAGAGAUAUCGUGAGGAGUAAGCGAGAGGAUUUGCAUAACCCCUUAGCAAAUGAUUAAAGCAUUAACAUAUUCUUGAUACAUAUGAGUUUUUACAAUUACUCUUAUGUCAUCAGCUCUCCCAGGCUAUUAUCAUUCCAUACUUUAUUACUGUAAUAAUAGCCACCUAGUUUAAAAGUCUGUUUGUUUCAAAUCUAUCCUAUACAUUUCUUCCAGCAAAAACUGCCCCAAACAUAAUUGUCUUCAAUGCCUUCUGAUAAAAACUGUAACAACAGACUUCAAUGAUUUCCAUACCCAGGAGAAUUUAGUAUAUAUUGUGCUGGCAUUUAAGACUCUCACUAAUAUUGGUUCAAGUUAUUUUUCCAGCUUCACUCCAUUACUCCCUCCUAUAUGCAUGCUCUAGCUGAAUGGAACUCUCCAAGUAUCCCUGAGAACUCGCACUCUGCUCUUCUGUGUUAAGCUCUUAAGGGCAGAGACUGUGAUAAGUCUUCAUAUACCAGUAUAAAGUCCAGGACCUGGCACACAGUAAGCAUUCAAUAUUUGCUGAAAUGAAUAGCCUUUGCUUGCACUAUUUUCCUCUCAGAAAUCCUCUCUUCUUAUCUUUACCUAUAUAACACCUAUCCUUCAAGGUCCCAGCUAAAUAUCAUGAAUUACCACCAUUCAUAGGCUAACUACUUCCUUCAUAUUAUUAUCAUGUAUUUACUGUCUGGCAUUUAUAUUCCACUGUGAUUAUAAUUAUUUUUGUUACCUUAUGCCCUAAUUUUCGAAUGGUGUUGAGAGCAGUGUACUAUGUCUUAAUCAAUUUUAUUUCCUACAAUGCCUAGCAUUUUUCUUUGACGAUGUUAAUUGCCAGUGGCUAGUUAUUGAAUGAAUCAGUAUGACUAAUAGGAUCCUAUUUAUUAUCCAUUGUUUUUUGACCAUUAAAGAAAACCCAUCCUACUUCAAUAGAACAAAAUCUUCACCCCUUGCCAGGCUCCUUAGUCUCUCCAAGGUCCAGUCACAUCCUCCCUGCCUAACAUGACUUUGGGUAGUUACUGAAGCCCUGCUAGCUUUUCAUUAUUCCCUGGACAUGCCAUAUACAUUCUUAACCAUGUUCCUUUGCUGAUGUUUACUUUGCUCGAGGGCAAUACUGUCUUUGUUUCAGCUAUCCAAGCCUGACUUAAGGUCUCAUUCCACACUUUAUUACUGUAAUAAUAGCCAACUAGUUUAAAAGUCUCUUCCUUUCAAAUCUAACCUAUAUAUUUCUUCCAGUGAAGACUGCCCCAAACACAACUGUCUUCAUUUUCUUCUCCCAAAUUCAUCAUGAGCACUUCUCUAGACUUCCACAAUGCUUUUUCUCUUUCAUCACAGGAAAGAGAAAUUUAGGUUCUUAAUUUAGUACUUAAUCAUACAAUUUAAUCAUACACACACCCUAGAACAAUGAAACAAUAAAAGUAGGAGACAAUUUAAAAGGGCUUUACUACAGAAAUUCUCAUAAUGAAACUUGAAAGGGACUAGUUCCAUAUUAACCCACUCUCUGUAAUUCCUUUCCUCCUCCUCCCUGGGUUACCUCUUAUAUUAGCUGUACAGAUAUCAUUCUUGACAACUUGUUUCUAAGAUAUUUAAGGAAUUUGCAUUCCUCUCAAUCACUUCUAGCUAAUAAUACAAUCUUACACAUUGUGUUGACUAUAUUUUAAUUCAAUAAAAAUAUGGUUUAAAUUUGUAUCCUAAAUUUUCAUGUGUUUUUUUGUUUUUAUAACUCAAUUAAAUAUCAUGUCGUUGGAGACAGAGGUCAUAUUUGGAAUUUCCUGUGAAUUUCCCAUAUUAGGAAGCAUAAUGCUGAUCACACUGUAGAUUUUCAAUGCAUGCAUGAACAACGUUCAUUGUUAGAUGAAACCUACCUGCCAAAAUGUUCUCCUUAAAUGCAUUUUAUAAUAUUUGACACGCUAACUUCAUUCCAUUUUUUAUGGUCUAUUGGUUCUAAGUUAUUGUCAUGUUUAUAGUUUUUUCCUGGUCCAUUGACUUCUAAUUUACUGUCAUACUUACUGGACCACUCAGUAACUAAGGCAACUAAAGCUAUAUCUUUGGAGAAGACAUACACAGAUACACCCUAGGGUUAGAUAAACUGGUGUGAUAGGAUUUGCUUUCUAUAGUGCAUCAGUAUUGUUUUUACCUUAUGCCUGAAGAUGAAAAUGGGAAGUAUGGUAAAUAUUUGGUGAAUGGCCUACAGAAAAUACAUUAUACUUCAUAUUUAUAAAUACCAUCUAAUUUUAUCUUCCUGAUAACCCUAUGUAGUUGAUGGUACUAAGCUGUUCUUGUAGACAUGACAACUAAACCUAUUAGGUUGGUAGAAAAGUAAUUGUGGUUUUCCACAUUACUUAAAAAAAGUGGCCAAAGCCUCAAUUACUUUUGCACCAACCUAAUAAGAAAGAAGUAAUUUACUCAAGGCUUUAUCUCUAAACUUGAUCUCAGGCCCAUCUGAUUCCAAGGUCCUUAACAAAUGGGGAUAAGUCCAUGGAUCUCCAACUUCAGUGUGCAAAAGAAUCACUCAAGGAACUUCUUCAAAUACAUAUUACUAGGAUCUACUCAAAAGAUUAUAAUUUGUUACACUUAUGAUGAGACCCAAGAAUCUUCAUUUUAACGAACACAUUAAAGCAUUCAUGUGGGAAAAAAUGAGCUAAGGAAGAGUUAAGAUAGUAAUAGUAAUUAUAACAAUAACAACUAUGUAACACAUGAAUCAACACCACACUACCCACCAUUUGCUGCAUCACCUUACUGUUGGUCAGACACUAUGUUGCAAAGCACUUUAUAACGUAUUUUGUCAUGUAAUUCUUACAACCACCUUAUGAAAUAUAUAUUAUUAUCAUCUUUCUUUUACAUGAGGAAAGAAUUAAAGUCAUAUAGGCUACAUAGUUGGUAAUCA